ACUAAUUCGAUCCGAUGAGUCAAUGAGAAGCAGAAGCUUUUAAAGAAAAAGGAAAAGUUUAUGCUUCAUCCAAGGGAACUAAGGAGAAACUCUCUCUUUUUCCUGCUGGAUAUUAAUGAAGAAGGAUGCUGACCCAGGAACUUUUGACCACCAUUCUGGCAUCCACGACUGGGAAAAAGUCUGCCUAACUCUACUCUCUCCAGGAAUAGUACUGACAAGCAGAGCAUCCUCAGACGCGUGCUUCAGAUGAGCAAAGGAAGCUCUGAGAGGACGAAUGACCUACCUGAAGCCACACGCAGUACAUGCAUCGGGCCCUGGCUCCCAAUCUGUGAUGGAUCCGAGGAUGGCACUGCCUCUCCAACAGCCCCAGCCUGCAGCACUGACUUCAUCAGGGUCUCCUGGUCCAGAAGAGAGGCAGGCACAGAGGCAACCAAUGACAGAAAUAAGGACAGCAGCUCCCGUGUGUUGACAGCUUCCAUAUUCCAGCAGCUCCCAGCCCAGAAGAUUCUUUUGUGAGAAGUCAUCGUGCCUCCUGCUUCUUCGUUUUCAGAAAUCCUUACAUUCUGCCUGCUUCCAAGCCUUCCUCUCCAGCCUGCCAUCACUGUGCUCCGGGGACCCAGUCUGGGGAACAGCCUCAUACCCUCUCCCACCCUCCAUCAUGCAAGACUGGAAGUCAUCCUGGGCCCUCCUCCAUUAUCCGUCACAUGUGGUCAUUCCCAGAGUUCUGUCCAUCCAUCCCUGUACCUGGAUCUCAGAUUGAUCCUUGGUCUCUGGGGGACACGUGGAUUCGGUUUUUGGCUCUGCCAUUCCUGUGGUGGCUGCUGUAUCAUAGAAGAAUAAGUGGUUGUUGCAGUUGCUGCACACCCCAAAGGCUGAGCACCGGUAAAAGCCAACUCCAAGGCCUAUGAAUGUUUUUUUUUUAGAACAAAGAAUCCCUUCUUCUAUACCAAGAUUAAGGUAAAAACUAAGUAGAAGUUAACUUGAAAAAUCUGUGUUAUAUUUUCCUAAAAUAUUCCCUUCUGAAAGUUCAUCAGAUGAUAGUUUAAGUAAAGCCUUCUGCCUAAACUAUAAUUGCUUGGCCACUGGCUCCUGGGGAAAGAGAUAAUAAGAUUUUCAUUAUAAAUCCUCCAUCUUAGUAGUUUUCUUCUAUAAAAUUCAAGGGCAGAGAUGAUUUUUGAAUGAAAGGGAACCCAGAAAGAAAUCAAACAAGGAUGUAAUUGCCUGCAGCCCCUCUAAGUAGGUUGACAGUUGGCUGCUUGAGUUUUAAGCUUCAUUCAGAAGUUCCUUAUCCUUCCCCUAAAGAAAAAAAAAAUCAGUUGCAAGAAAUUCAUAUAUUCAAUUUACUUGCAUGUCCCUUGGAGAAAACCAUUCAUCAACAACAGAAAAUUCUGUUGAUUUGAUCAGAUCAUAUAUUCCUGUUUAGAGGGCAAAAUGUUGAGAAA